UACUUGUACUUUCCAACUGUGUGUGUGUCUGUGGGUGCGGAAACCUUGCACUGCAAGAGGCUUAAAUGAAUGCAAAAAGGAGUUGGUGGUCUUUAAAACGGCUCCAGGCACAGGCUUCACAUCACAUCACAUCAGUCUUUGCUGGAGAGAGCACCAUGACGAGUAUCCCCCUCAUCCUGCUUGUAUUGGUAGCCGUGAUGGUGCCGACAGCCUCAGCGCAAGGUGGAAUCUCAACCUGCUGUAUGAAAUUCACCAGCACAAAAGUUCAUCGAGAAUUGCUGAAGAGCUACUACCAAGAAGAUAAAUCAUCAUGCAGACUACAAGCAAUUGUAUUCACAACAAUCAUGGAUAAAAGAAUCUGUGGCAGCCCCUUCAAUCUGUGGACAAAAACCAGCAUGGCCUUUCUGGACGGCAAGAAAUUUGCGCGAAAACAGUCAGGCUUAAACAAGGGAACAAAGGAACGUCACUGACACUGAUGCUUCUAAUUGAGACACAAGCGCUCGAUCUGUCAUCUUAAGCUGUUUGAGUUUAAUCAAAUUUAGACUUUAGAAUGUACCUCAGCUUUAUAAAAUUUUAAAAUCUGUUGUAUGUGACUUUUGUUUGAGUUUAUUUAAUAUUUUUAUAACUAAUGUAAAAAUGUAAAUAAAUAUUAUUUUUCUAACUGACUCAAGCUUGUUAUAAUGUCAAAAAGUAUAACUUUCUUUGUGACGUUAAGAUUCAAAUCUGAAUAAAACUGGUGCCUGCUCAAUUUCAGCACCCACUCUU